rnacentral:lncRNA from 1 species
AGGCCAGCACUGUAUAUCCACCUCCCCCAGCUGUGGCUGCUCCAGGAGUGAAAUAUCCUCUUCCCCAAUUCAAACCUGGAACUAAUGCAGCAAACCCAACUCACCUUGUAAUGCCAAGUGCCUACGGAGCAUAUGGCUCCUCUCCAGCCGGUUAUAAUCAUAGUUCUGCAGCACCACCUGCAGGGAAUUCGACCUUUAACGAGGAUCUUGGUUCCUCCCAGUUUAAGGAAAAUAAUGUAUACAUCAGUGGACAGCAGGUUCGCUCCUUCUUAUCUUAACAUCUUCAUUUUUGUAACUUGUCUAUGAAGUUUGAUGGCCUUUUAUUUGAAUUGCUAAAGAAAGAACCUUCCAUGUAUAGAAGUUCAAUUAGGUUUAGCAAGACAGUUACGAAAAGCCUAUUCCAUAAAAUUAGCUGCUUUUCUUGUGUUUAUAUUUUCAGUAUAAGGACUAUCACCUACAUUUGAUUAUAAUUAUGUUUCGUAUUUCCAUUGCAGAGCGAAGGUUCAGCAGUGUGGGUGACUGCACCUGGCCGAGACAUUUCCAGUUUGCCAACUAGUUCAUACUACAACAUUCCACCUCAGGGUCAGCAUGUGACAUUUGCCCCAACUCAGGCUGGCCAUGGCACCUUUACCGGCAUCUAUCACCCUCCACAAGCAGUGACAGCUGCAGGAGUUCAUCCACUGCUACAUCAAUCCCAGACAAUGGCUGGAGCAGUUGAAAUGGUAGGACCUGGAGGCAAUGUUUAUCAGCAACCUCAGCAUGCACAAAUCAAUUGGCCGGGCAACUACUGAGGCUGUGAGAUCUCCCUGACAGCUAAACUAGAUAAUCAAGUCGUAUCUAGUGAUUUUUUCGGGAAACUCCAAAAUAUAGAUGGAGUUCCAUGUGGACAACAUUGCAAUUGGCUGCACUUGAGUGUAAGAGCUGGAAAAAUUGACAAUAGAAUUAUAUCCCACUACGCUCCUAACUACAUUCCUUAUGGCCACUACUUUUCACCAUUUUAUGUCCCACCUCCUCCAGCAAUGCACCAGUUUGUGGGUAAUGGUGCAUUUCCCCAACAACCUCAGGCCAGCACUGUAUAUCCACCUCCCCCAGCUGUGGCUGCUCCAGGAGUGAAAUAUCCUCUUCCCCAAUUCAAACCUGGAACUAAUGCAGCAAACCCAACUCACCUUGUAAUGCCAAGUGCCUACGGAGCAUAUGGCUCCUCUCCAGCCGGUUAUAAUCAUAGUUCUGCAGCACCACCUGCAGGGAAUUCGACCUUUAACGAGGAUCUUGGUUCCUCCCAGUUUAAGGAAAAUAAUGUAUACAUCAGUGGACAGC